GUGCUUGCCUCAGCAGCACAUGUACUAAAAUGGGAACAAUGCAGAGAAGAUUAGCACGGCCCCCAUGCAACAAUGACAUGCAAAUUUGUGAAGCGUUCCAUAUUUAA
rnacentral:snRNA from 1 species